CUCCUAAGUCCCAAAGAUCUUUGUGUGAGAUGCAAGAUCGCUGGCCUGGAUUAACUUGGAUUUACUCAAAAGAAUUGGACUGGACAACUUUGCGUGAGGAGCUAGGUGAGGGGAACGACUCUUUCUGUAUUUCCGCGAGGGGGGGGACAGUCAUCGGGUAGUCGGUCCUCUCG